CCGGCAAACGGGUGCGGAACACGUACACAACCUUCCGAUAAGUGGGGAAUAGCCCAGAGAAAUUUGGAUUAAUACCCCGUAACAUUGCGAUGUGGCAUCACAUUGCAAUUAUAGCUUCGGCGCUUAUUGAUGGGUGUGCGUAUGAUUAGAUAGUUGGCGGGGUAACGGCCCACCAAGUCUACGAUCAUUAGCUGAUGUGAGAGCAUGAUCAGCCACACGGGCACUGAGAUACGGCCCAGACUCC
rnacentral:rRNA from 1 species